GACGAACGCUGGCGGCGUGCCUAAUACAUGCAAGUAGAACGCUGAAGGAGGAGCUUGCUUCUCUGGAUGAGUUGCGAACGGGUGAGUAACGCGUAGGUAACCUGCCUGGUAGCGGGGGAUAACUAUUGGAAACGAUAGCUAAUACCGCAUAAGAGUAGAUGUUGCAUGACAUUUGCUUAGAAGGUGCAAUUGCAUCACUACCAGAUGGACCUGCGUUGUAUUAGCUAGUUGGUGGGGUAACGGCUCACCAAGGCGACGAUACAUAGCCGACCUGAGAGGGUGAUCGGCCACACUGGGACUGAGACACGGCCCAGACUCCUACGGGAGGCAGCAGUAGGGAAUCUUCGGCAAUGGACGGAAGUCUGACCGAGCAACGCCGCGUGAGUGAAGAAGGUUUUCGGAUCGUAAAGCUCUGCUGUAAGAGAAGAACGAGUGUGAGAGUGGAAAGUUCACACUGUGACGGUAUCUUACCAGAAAGAGACGGCUAACUACGUG
rnacentral:rRNA from 1 species